GGUUUAAAUUGUGAUUUGGACCCCUGCAUUUAUCCCAACAGCAGCUCAGCACCUUCCUGUCUAGAAUACCAUGAAUACAGGUUAUGCGUAUCGAAAAGGCUCCUCUGUUUGGACAGCUUUGAUUGGGGAACAGAAGGAAUCUGUGUAUUUAUUGACUAUCAAAAUCUUUAGUGACGAGUGUCGCGAAAAAUGCUAUGUUGAUUUGGACUGAACCCUUAUCAGCAUAAAUGUCAACAUAUGUGUCUUGUAUUAUGAAAUGCCUAUACCAGUAGGUCAAAUCAUACAACAGUAGGAAGAUAGCUCAAAAUAUGUAUUUUCUGUGUAACAAAAUAUUAUUUUAGUUUUUCUUUUAACUUUUUUAAAACUAAUCAUAGUUAACACAAAAGAACUAAACAUUAUUGUAUUAUUUAAACAAUUAGACCAUUAUGCCAACGGAUAUGAAAAAAUAUAUGAAUAAUGUGAGAGUUGGCAAGCUAAGCUUGAAGAAGCUCAAUGCAAAUAAUUUUUAAAAAUUUCGUACAUUAAAUAAAAUCAAAUUAGCAAAAUAUGUUUUUACUGAUUACUAAUUAUUCAAGAUCUUUCAAUCUAAUUAAACGUAUUUAAUUAAUAAUGUUUAUAGAACUUUUUUUUAAACUUAUGUUUGUGUUUUUAUUAUGAAAGAGUUUUUUGUUGUAAAACGGCAAUGAAAAAUGCAUAUUUAUAAAAUUGAUAUUUCAUAAAAUCUAAAUAAACAAAAAUGUGUUAGUUCCAGGGUAAGUUAAGAUUCAAAAUUAUUUUAAUGAA